rnacentral:rRNA from 1 species
SNSUSUAGUGAACCUGCGGAAGGAUCAUUGUCGAGACCCGUGAGGCAGACCGCGAACCCGUUCCGAACGGUGCCGGGCGCCGCGGCGCGUCGGGGCGUGCCCCCCGUGCCGUCGGCCCCGGCCCCGCCCGGCGAGCGCCAGCGCCCGUCGGGCGGGCCAACGAACCCCGGCGCGGAGAGCGCCAAGGAAAACCGAAACCGAGGGCCCCGUCCCCCCCGCCCCGUCCGCGGAGCGUCGGGAGGGGGCGAGGCGCCUCGAGUUCAGAACACGAUGUCACAACGACUCUCGGCAACGGAUAUCUCGGCUCUCGCAUCGAUGAAGAACGUAGCGAAAUGCGAUACUUGGUGUGAAUUGCAGAAUCCCGUGAACCAUCGAGUCUUUGAACGCAAGUUGCGCCCGAAGCCGUCCGGCCGAGGGCACGCCUGCAUGGGCGUCACGCAUCGCGUCGCCCCCCUCCCUCCGCGAGGAGAUCGGGGAGGGGGCGGACGUUGGCCUCCCGUGCGCUCCCGCGCGGCCGGCCCAAACGGGAUCCCCCGGCGACGCGCGUCGCGGCCAGUGGUGGUUGCCCGCUAGCUGUCCGCCGCGCACCGCGCCGUCGCCCGGUCGGGCAUCGCAGAGACCCCCGCGCGCCUCCGGGCGCCUUCGACCGCGACCCCAUGUCAGGCGGGAUCACCCG